AUGUCUUAUCUCACCGAUGAUUAGGAGUCUGAGGAGGCUUAUGACUCCUAUACUUAUCUGGGAGACUAUGGAGAUCCAAAAGCAGGACCUUGCUUAUGAACAUCAGUAUGAAUAGCAAACCUAUCAGGUGAUGCCUGAAGUGAUCAAAAACUCCAUCCAGUAUUUUCACAAAACUGUCUCGGGUUUGACUGACCAGAAAGUGUAUGAGCUACAGGCCAGUUGUGUCUCCAGUGAUGUCAUUGACCAGGUGUAUAGGAUCCAGGACAUCUAUGAUAACAGCUGGACCAAGCUGACUGAAAGAUUCUUCAAAAAUACACCUUGGCCAGAGGCUGCAGCCAUUGCUCCACAGUUUGACAACAAUGCUGUCUUCUUGGUUUUAUACAAAAUAUUAUAUACUACAGGUACAUAUACACCAAAGUCAGUGGGGGACCUUCCUUGGAACAGAGAUUUGAAUCCUACUACAACAAUUCCAGUCUCUUCAACUGUAUUCUUAAUGUUGAUGGUCCUCUUCCCCUUGAACUACCCAACCAGGGGCUCUAGGAUAUCAUUGAUGAGUUCAUCUACCAGUUUCAGUCAUUCAGUCAGUACUGCUGUAAGACUGCCAAGAAGUCAGAGGAGGAGAUUGACUUCGUUUGUUCCAAUCCCCAAAUCUGGAAUGUUCACAGUGUCCUCAAUGUCCUUCAUUGUCUGGUAGACAAAUCCAACAUCAACUGACAGUUGGAGGUAUACACAAGCAGAGGUGACCCUGAGAGUGUGGCUGGGGGGAUGCUUGGUUACUUCAGCCUGGUGGGGCUUCUCCGCCUGCACUCCCUGUUAGGAGAUUACUACCAGGCCAUCAAGGUGCUGGAGAACAUCGAGCUGAACCAGAAGAUCAUGUAUUCCUGUGUGUUAGAGUGCCAGGUCACCACAUACUAUUAUGUUGGGUUUGCAUAUUUGAUGAUGCAUUGCUACCAGGAUGCCAUCCAGGUCUUUGCCAAUAUCCUCCUCUACAUCCAGAGGACCAAGAGCAUGUUCCAGAGGACCACAAAUAAGUAUGAGAUGAUUAACAAGCAGAAUGAUCAGAUGCAUGCACUGCUGGCCAUUGCCCUUAUGAUGUACCCCAUGCAUAUCGAUGAGGGCAUUCACCUCCAGCUGCAGGAGAAAUAUGGGGACAAGUUGCUGUGCAUGCAGAAAGGUGACCCACAAGUCUAUGAAGAACUUUUCAGUUACUCCUGCCCCAAGUUCCUGUCCCCUGUAGUGCCCAACUAUGAUAAUGUGCACCCCAACUACCACAAAGAGCCCUUCCUACAGCAGCUGAAGGUGUUUUCCAGUGAAGUACAGCAGCAGGCCCAGCUUUCAACCAUCUACAACUUCCUCAGUCUCUACACCACCAUGCCUGUGGCCAAGCUUGCUGGCUUCCUGGACCUUACAGAGCAGGAGUUCCAGAUCCAGCUUUUGGUUUUCAAACACAAGAUGCAGAAUCUGGUGUGGACUAGCAGCAUCUCAGCCCUGGAUGGUGAAUUUUAGUUGGCCUCAGCGGUUGACUUCUACAUCGUUAAGGACAUGAUCCACAUCAUAGACACCAAGGUCGCCAAGCACUAUGGGGAUAUCUUCAUCCAUCAGAUCCACAAAUUUGGGGAGUUUAAUGAAAUCCUGAAGUAGAUGGGACAGAGACCCUGA